CAGUAGCCGCGGGAAUACGGAGGGCGCGAGCGUUACCCGGAUUUACUGGGCGUAAAGGGCGUGUAGGCGGCCUGGGGCGUCCCAUGUGAAAGGCCACGGCUCAACCGUGGAGGAGCGUGGGAUACGCUCAGGCUAGAGGGUGGGAGAGGGUGGUGGAAUUCCCGGAGUAGCGGUGAAAUGCGCAGAUACCGGGAGGAACGCCGAUGGCGAAGGCAGCCACCUGGUCCACCUCUGACGCUGAGGCGCGAAAGCGUGGGGAGCAAACCGGAUUAGAUACCCCCGUAGUCCCUGUCUCUUAUAC
rnacentral:rRNA from 1 species